rnacentral:antisense_RNA from 1 species
UGACUUCAUGAGACCUGAGGCAAUGACAAAGAGCCCCCAGGAUCUUGCUCUGUCACCCAGCCUGGAGUGCAGUCGUGGGUUCACAGCUCACUGCAGCCUCAACCUAUGGGCUCACGUGAUCUUCCUAUCUCAGCCUUCCAAGUAGCUGGGACUACAGGCAUGCGCCACCACACCUGGGAUGUCUGGUCCCCUGGGCACGAACUUGUGGAUGAAGCAGGUGUUAAUAGGGUCCCAUCACUGGGGCACUGGGAACCCACCGUGUGCUGACGAGGCUAUCAUGUCACUAGGAACAAAGUGAGCAAGGUGCUAAGAUCUCCCUUCAUAUCCUGUUGGGAAACUGGUUCCUAUGAGAAGAAUAAUCCUUCUUGGCUUGAGUUAUGAAGAAACGGAGGGCUCCGUGUGAACACUAUUGAAAGCUCUGGACAACAGUGGCAGGGAGUCUUAGCUCUAAACGUACUAGCUGGGUGACCUUGAGAACACUGCCUAAUUACUCUCGGAGCCCAGUGUGGGGCCUAAGAGGGACUGGGCAUCAGCUUUUAACCUCGCUUCCAGACGUUCUGAGCCCUGUUGUUGGUGGGAUGGUCCUGUUUGGCAUGACGGUGGGUCCAUUCUUCUGGGAGGGGGCAAGGGCUGGUGCACAUCUGUGCCCCUGUGCCAGCCUGAGACAUCUGUGAUGGCACAUCAAUCAGACUAGGAAGGUGAUGGAAUAAAGCUGUGUCUUGGACCUCUCAAUAUGCACAAUGCAUAGCAUGUGCUUCUAGCAGAGCGUGGAGUUAUAAGCCUAGGUCAUUUAGGCCAUCUGUUGCUGAUUAAUUUAGAGGAAAUCAAAUAUUUCCAGCAAAGCUCCAAGAGCUGUUUAUCAAGCUGAGAUCUGGAAGUGAUUAAGAAUUUCAACAAACUUUCCAUGUUUGGUAGUCACCACUAGUGAGUGUCUAGAGGCUGGGUUUUUGCAGAGGAGUCGUGGGGCAAGCAAAUAAGAGACUAGUCAUUUUCCAUGCUUCUCAGUGCCUUUAGUGUAUGAAUAUCACAAUAUAACUUCAUGAGAAUGUCUAAUAAUGAAAAAUAAACUACUCAUAAGGCAGCCACCUAAAACCUAUACAUGAGAUCUGAUGGGUUUUGUCCAAAUGCAUAUUAUAAUCAUCUUCUUUAAAUAGUUUUAAAUUCAAUAGUUCAUUUCAUAAACACUUUCACAUUCUUAAGAAUUUUCAUUAUUCCAUGGAGCUGCAGUGCCAUAAUUUAACUCACUAUUCCAAUUCAGGUUUUUCUGCUAUUAUAGUUAACGUUGUAAUAAAAAUUUGUCUGCAUUG